UUAACACGUGGUGAUUGAGAUAAAUUCAAAUUGAAUUCUAAAUUGACAAAAAAAUGCGCCAGCUCACAGAAUGAAGCUCAGGUGACUCAGAUGGGAACCACCGUGAGCCACCGCACCGGAAAUCUCCUCCGGCAGCGGUGACCACCAGAAAUGGAAAAUGGAACCACCCUUGGAUUCUUCUUCUCACGCUCAUCCUGAAUCUAUCCUCAAUUUAUCAAGAUCUUACACCUAAAUCCCUAACCGAAACAUAAACCUCAAGAACCCUAAUUCCAAAUUCUUAAAUUAAAUCCCACUCUUGAAGAGUCAGAGCCCAGGGGAUUGGGACUAUAAUUCCUCUACUUUCCCUCUACAUUCCCGUAACAAGAAACCAGUGAAAGGAAAAAGCUUCAAGAUUUACCUUCCCGGAGGUGAUGACAUUGAUGACGCUGGUGAGCUCUCAGGAUGGUAUUUCUUCCUUGCAGGGUGAAUGGUUUACAUUUUGGCUCAUGCUGGUUCUGCAGUAGGCUCAUUUAGUAGGCCUGGAUGGUGGUUUUGCAGGGUCAUUUUUCCUUGCAAGUUCUACUGCAAGUGUUAAUGUCUUGUAGUCUUGUGUUAAUGCCUUUUGCUAGCAGGUUUGUGGCUUAUGGUGUAGCAUAUUUGGUGGCUUGGUGCAAGCAAGAUGCAGUCACAUGAUUAUGCAGUAGGCCUUUUGUACUGGUUUUUGCAUAAUUUUAUGACUUGCUUUGAUGUGGUUCUUGUUGGUUAUGACUUUGGUUUUUGCGGGGAGCUUUGCUCAUGUAUGUUUGUGUGCAUGCUAAUGAAUUGUCUUGAUUGGUCUCUUGUAGGCCAUGAACAUAUGGUGUUGAUGGUUGGACAAAGCAUGCAAAACAAGUGACACCAAGCUUGAACUUUGAAGUACCAACGACAAAUGGCAAAGAUCAAGUAGGAGCUUUGGAUUUAGGAUUGGGAUUUAGGGUUUUUGGGAUGUAAAAUGGUUGAGUUGACUUGGGUCAAAGUUGACCAAAAAGUCAACUGUUGACCAAAGUCAAUAUUGGUCAAUAUGUCAUUUUUUUUGUAAUAUUUGCAAUGUUUAGACAUUUGUAAUGUUGGAAUUUGAAGUUAUAUGAAUGAAAUUGAUAUUUUGAAUGAA